AUUCUCUUCCAUUUUCUCUCAUAUAUAUAUAUAUAUAUAUAUAUAUAUAUAUAUAUAUAUAUAUAUAUAUACACACAUACAUAUCUAUCCAUAUUGGAGUGAAUCUUAACUUCCCCUGAAGUCAAAUGUUCACGUUGUCUCCCAUUAACAUCAACGCAGUGCUAUGUAGUAAAAAUUCGACUUGAGUGGAAGUUAGGAUUUGCCUCAGAAAAUGCACUCUCUGAAAAUGACUUGCAUUACAUUGACGGAGAGGAGUCCAACCUUCCACUCUCUGAAAAUGACUUGCAUUACAUUGACGGAGAGGAGUCCAACCUUCCACUCUCUGAAAAUGACUUGCAUUACAUUGACGGAGAGGAGUCCAACCUUCCACUCUCUGAAAAUGACUUGCAUUACAUUGACGGAGAGGAGUCCAAUCUUCCACUCUAUGAAAAUGUUUUGGUUAUGCAGGAAUCUCGUAUGGUGAGACAGACAGAGAAAAGAGAUGUUUAACGCUAAGCUUAAAUCCAAUGAACAACCCAAAUAACACUAACAGUAAUCCAUAUGCAAUCUGUACGUAUGUACACAGGGAGCAUUUACACAUUGUACUGUAUACUAAGAAUGACAGAGUACAACAGUAGAUAGAUAUAUUACAGUGAGCUAUGUCAAGAAUCAGUUUAUAAUAAAUAUGUGGUGAGUGUAUAAACAGUAACUACAAUGCAAUGUACAGCAGUAGAAAUAUUAGAAUGAGCUAUAUGAAGAAUACAGUAUUUAAUCACAACACUAAUGUAUUACCAAUACUGUAAUAACUGUUUUCCCGAGCUGUACAUUGUUUUGUUUUUUCCAGUUUGGGUCGCCUGCUGUCGUUGACAGAGAGGAGUCCAAUCACCCUCUUUAUGAAGAGGUUUUGGUUACGCAGGAAACGCGUACGGGUGGCCAAAGUGACAGGAGUGGGUAGCUCCAGUGCCAUAGAGGCCAGACGUAAGGCAUCGGGGGUGCUCCAAGGCUUUGCUCUGGGCAUGGAUAUCUACUUCACGAAGCAAGAGGAUGCUCCAAGGCUUCGCUCUGGGCAUGGAUAUCUACUUCACGAAGCAAGAGGAUGCUCCAAGGCUUCGCUCUGGGCAUGGAUAUCUACUUCACGAAGCAAGAGGAUGGUCCAAGGCUUCGCUCUGGGCAUGGAUAUCUACUUCACGAAGCAAGAGGAUGGUCCAAAGCUGAAGAAAGGACUGAAGUACAAGUUUGGGGAAAAAGAAACGCAAAGUGUCUCAGCAGCUGAAUGAAGGGCUGGAUGAAGUGUUCGAGGCCAAAGACAAGCUAGCGGAAAAUAAUCUCUUCCUCUGAGGUGGAGGAGACGGAGAAAGAGGAUGAGGAGCCAAAUCAAUGUUUAUUUGUAAGGUGAAAAUAAUAUAGGGUGUAAACUGUACAGUGAAAUUCUUACUUGGAAGCUCUCAACAUUCCAGUAACAUUACACUUUGUCAAAAAUAUUAGCAAUAAAAAAAGUCAUACAAAAUAUGUAGGAAAAUAAACCAUUUUUGGUUAUUUUAUUCUGAUCUGUUCUAUUCUGUCCUAUAAUGUUUUAUUCUAUUAAUAGUUGAGAUUGUCUGUGAAUAAGAAGGCAUGAUGAGGUUGUUAAUCAUGGUUUGUCAGGACUCUUGACAGCUGCUUUUCCAGAUGUAGAUAUUUUUACUAAUAACUUCAACAAAUGCACCACUCGAUUGACUCAAUAUGUAAUAAACAAAUAACCUUGAAUUCAUUAUAUAUACAUCUCCGUCAACAAAAUUGAGAGACAAUAUUUUUGCUCAAACUAUAUUUUUUUCAAAUGAUCUUUCUAAAGAACCAUUUCUAUAUUGUCACGUAUACCAAACAUUAGGAACCUAUUCCUAAUAUUCAGUUGCACCCCCCCCCCCCCCCCCCCCCCCUUUCACUCCCAGAACAGCCUCAAUUCGUUGGGGCAUGGGCUCUACAAGGUGUUGAAAGCGUUCCACAGGGAUGCUGGCCCAUGUUGACUCCAAUGUUUCUCACGGUUGUGUCAAGUUGACUGGAUGUCCUUUGGGUAGUGGACCAUUCCUGAUACACACGGGAAACUGUUGAGCGUGAAAAACCCAGCAGUGUUGCAGUUCUUGAUACAAACCAGUGUGCCUGUCUUGCCCAUUUCCCCCUCUGAAUGGUAUACAUACACAAUCCAUGUCUCAAUUGUCUCUAGGCUUAAAAAUCCAUCUUUAUUCUGUCUCCUCCCCUUCAUCUACACUGAAGUGAAUUUAACAAGUGACAUCAAUAAGGGAUCAUGGCUCUUACCUGGAUUUAACUAGUCAGUCUGUGAUGGAAAUAACAGGUGUUCUUAAUGUUUUGUAUACUCAGUGUAUAUCUGUACUAUACAUUUGUUGUUAAAAAUGUCAAAUAAAUUGACAUUUUUAUUUUUACUACCCACUAGACCCUGACUUUGAAUACCACUGGUCAAAUGGAACCGUAACAUUGUCUGUUUCUCAAAUGGCACCAUAUAGGGCUGUGGUCAAAAGUAGUGCACUACAUGGGGAAUAGGGUACUAGUUUGAUGUACCAUAGACAAUGGAGAACUCAGUGACCUCCACUACUUCUUUAUUUGGCUUUUCAACCACCAGGUGGAGAGAUUGGACAUGUAUUCAUUAUAAUGUAAUAAUGAGUUGUCAUCAGAAUAUAACUAAACCAUAUCUGUUUAUAAAAUUGAAAUUAAGUUACCACAAUUUUCGUUUUCAUCUGUUGAUUAGUUACCGUUGAUUAGUCUUCAGUUAAGUUAAUAAAGACACUCG
rnacentral:lncRNA from 1 species